UUUUUAUUUAGCUCAUUAAGAACUAUUUUAGAAUUGGAACAAUACAGAGAAGAUUAGCAUGGCCAUUGCAUGACAUGCAAAUUCAUGAAGCAUUUCAUAUUAUU